GACGAACGCUGGCGGCGUGCUUAACACAUGCAAGUCGAACGGAAAGGCCCUGCUGUUGUGGGGUGCUCGAGUGGCGAACGGGUGAGUAACACGUGAGUAACCUGCCCUUGACUUUGGGAUAACUUCAGGAAACUGGGGCUAAUACCGGAUAGGAGCUCCUGCUGCAUGGUGGGGGUUGGUAAGUUUCGGCGGUUGGGGAUGGACUCGCGGCUUCUCAGCUUGUUGGUGGGGUAGUGGCUUACCAAGGCUUUGACGGGUAGCCGGCCUGAGAGGGUGACCGGCCACAUUGGGACUGAGAUACGGCCAAGAGUCCUACGGGAGGCAGCAGUGGGGAAUAGUGCGCGAUGGGCGGAGGCCUGAUGCAGCAACGCCGCGUGCGAGAUGACGGCCUUAGGGGUGUAAACCGCUUUCGACUGUGACGAACCGUGAGUGACGGUAAUGGAUAAAGAAGCACCGGCUAACUACGUG
rnacentral:rRNA from 1 species